rfam:Anaerocolumna jejuensis DSM 15929 genome assembly, contig: EJ31DRAFT_scaffold00006.6
UACAAAGCGAAGAAAAGGAAUAGUAUAUAAAUGUUGUCCUCCCAGAGAGAGAAUAGGUUGGUGGGAGAUUCUCAGGAUAACCUUAUAGAACCUACCUUGGAGCACUGUAUGAAAAUACGGCGUAAAACCGGCGAUAACGGUGUUAAAGUGAACUGGUGACAGUUAAUUAGGGUGGUACCGCCGAGGUCUUUCGGUCCCUUGU